rnacentral:rRNA from 1 species
ACGCUCGACACCUACGGGAGGCAGCAGUGGGGAAUAUUGCACAAUGGGGGAAACCCGUGAUGCAGCAACGCCGCGUGAGUGAAGAAGUAUUUCGGUAUGUAAAGCUCUAUCAGCAGGGAAGAUAAUGACGGUACCUGACUAAGAAGCUCCGGCUAAAUACGUGCCAACAGCCGCGGUAAUCUGAGCGGGCUGGCAAGGC